rnacentral:rRNA from 1 species
UACGUAGGGGGCAAGCGUUGUCCGGAUUUAUUGGGCGUAAAGCGCGUGUAGGCGGCCAGGUAGGUCGGUUGUGAAAAUUGGAGGCUCAACCUCCAGACGUCGAUCGAAACCAUCUGGCUAGAGUCCGGGAGAGGAGAGUGGAAUUCCGUGGUGUAGCGGUGAAAUGCGCAGAUAUCGGGAAGAACACCCGUGGCGAAGGCGGUUCGUCUGGGACGGUACGGACGCUGAGACGCGAAAGCGUGGGGAGCGAACAGG